rnacentral:rRNA from 1 species
GGGAGGGGGGGCAAGCGUUGUUCGGAAUUACUGGGCGUAAAGGGCGCGUAGGCGGGUAUGCCAUGUCAGGGGGGGUGAAAAGGGCCUGGGCUCAACCCAGGAACUGCCUUUGAAACUGGCAAACUAGAGUCCGAUAGAGGAUGGCGGAAUUCCCAGUGUAGAGGUGAAAUUCGUAGAUAUUGGGAAGAACACCAGUGGCGAAGGCGGCCAUCUGGAUCGGCACUGACGCUGAGGCGCGAAAGCGUGGGGAGCAAACAGGAUUAGAUACCCUGGUAGUCCACGCCGUAAACGAUGUGUGCUAGACGUUGGGGGUCUUAGACCCUGGGUGUCGUAGCUAACGCGUUAAGCACACCGCCUGGGGAGUACGGCCGCAAGGUUA